AGCAGCCGCGGUAAUUCCAGCUCCAAUAGCGUAUAUUAAAGUUGCUGCAGUUAAAAAGCUCGUAGUUGAAUUUCGGGACCGAUAUAUCGGUCGUGCCUCGGUACGUACUGGUAUUUUCGGUUUCUCCCUUCUGACGAACCUUGAUGUCAUUAAUUUGGUGUCUUGGGGAAUCAGGACUGUUACUUUGAAAAAAUUAGAGUGUUUAAAGCAGGCUCACGCUUGAAUACAUUAGCAUGGAAUAAUGAAAUAGGACGUUUGAUUCUAUUUUGUUGGUUUCUAGGAUCGACGUAAUGAUUAAUAGGGAUAGUUGGGGGCAUUAGUAUUCAAUUGUCAGAGGUGAAAUUCUUGGAUUUAUUGAAGACUAACUACUGCGAAAGCAUUUGCCAAGGAUGUUUUCAUUAAUCAAGAACGAAAGUUAGGGAUCGAAGACGAUCAGAUACCGUCGUAGUC
rnacentral:rRNA from 1 species